CGAAUACCUGAGGGUGAAUGUGGUGAAGACCUGCGAGGAAAUCCUCAAUUACGUGCUGGUACGAGUGCAACCUCCGCAGCCCGGCCUGCCGCGGCCCCGCUUCUCCCUCUAUCUCUCAGCCCAACUUCAGAUCGGUGUGAUCCGCGUCUAUUCUCAACAAUGCCAGUACCUCGUGGGUAAGGCUGGGAACCCUCAAAGGUGGGGCGGGCUGAGCAGCUGUCUGCUAAGCUGGCUGUCUACCUCGUCCUCCCUGCCCACAGAGGACAUCCAGCACAUCUUGGAGCGCCUCCACCGUGCCCAGCUGCAGAUCCGAAUAGAUAUGGAGACUGAGCUACCCAGCCUGCUGCUUCCUAACCACCUGGCCAUAAUGGAGACCCUAGAAGACGCUCCAGAUCCCUUUUUUGGGAUGAUGUCUGUGGAUCCCAGACUUCCUAGUCCUUUCGAUAUCCCUCAGAUUCGACACCUCUUAGAGGCUGCAAUCCCAGAGAGAGUUGAAGAGAUCCCUCCUGAAGUCCCUACAGAGCCCAGGGAGCCAGAGAGGAUUCCAGUCACUGUGCUGCCACCUGAGGCCAUCACGAUCCUGGAGGCAGAGCCCAUACGGAUGCUGGAGAUUGAGGGUGAACGGGAGCUCCCAGAGGUCAGCCGCCGAGAACUGGAGCUGCUGAUCGCAGAGGAAGAAGAAGCUAUCUUGUUAGAAAUCCCGCGGCUCCCACCUCCAGCUCCUGCAGAGUAAGGGCAAGAACUCCUAGACCAGGUAGGGUGUCAGUGCUGGGAAGGGUCUCCUCAUUUCUCUUGCCCAUUUCCCCUCAGGGUGGAAGGAAUAGCAGAGGCACUGGGUCCUGAGGAGCUGAGGCCGACAGGCUGGGAACCUGGGGCCCUACUCAUGGGUGAGUGCUCACCAUGCCCCAGGGGCUUUUCUGGGAGUACCUGGAUACUGCUGCAGACAAGGGCUUUAUAUCCCAACUUGCUAGAGGGAGGACCCUGCAGUUUCUUGCCCUGGCAUCUGCAAGGGGUAAGGGGCUUAUGGGACAGAGCCCCUUGGGUGUUGUUGCAGAGGUGACCCCCCCGGAGGAGCUGCGUCUGCCAGCCCCACCCA
rnacentral:sRNA from 1 species